UACGUAGGGGGCAAGCGUUGGUCCGGAGUUACUGGGCGUAAAGGGCACGCAGGCGGUUGUGUCAGUUUGCGGGGACAGUGGGUGGCUUAACUGCCCAAGGGUCGCAAAGACGGCACGACUGGAGAGCGAGAGAGGGACCUGGAACUCCGGGUGGAGCGGUGAAAUGCGGUAGAGAUCCGGAAGAACACCACUGGCGCAGGCAAGGUCCUGGCUCGUAUCUGACGCUGAGGUGCGAAAGCUAGGGGAGCGAACGGG
rnacentral:rRNA from 1 species